rnacentral:tRNA from 1 species
GAAGGUAUAGCUCAAGGGUAAAGGGCAUGCUUAGCAUGCAUGAGGUCGUGGGUUCAGUCCCCAGUACCUUCA